rnacentral:rRNA from 1 species
GAUCCUGGCUUAGGAUGAACGCUAGCUACAGGCUUAACACAUGCAAGUCGAGGGGCAGCAUUGGAGUAGCAAUACUUCAGAUGGCGACCGGCGCACGGGUGAGUAACACGUAUCCAACCUGCCGCUUACUCGGGGAUAGCCUUUCGAAAGAAAGAUUAAUACCCGAUGGUAUAAAGAGUUCGCAUGUUCUCUUUAUUAAAGAAUUUCGGUAAGCGAUGGGGAUGCGUUCCAUUAGAUAGUUGGCGGGGUAACGGCCCACCAAGUCUACGAUGGAUAGGGGUUCUGAGAGGAAGGUCCCCCACAUUGGAACUGAGACACGGUCCAAACUCCUACGGGAGGCAGCAGUGAGGAAUAUUGGUCAAUGGACGAGAGUCUGAACCAGCCAAGUAGCGUGAAGGAUGACUGCCCUAUGGGUUGUAAACUUCUUUUAUAAGGGAAUAAAGUGAGGGACGUGUCCCUUUUUGUAUGUACCUUAUGAAUAAGGAUCGGCUAACUCCGUGCCAGCAGCUGC